rnacentral:rRNA from 1 species
CCUACGGGAUGCAGCAGUGGGGGAUAUUGCACAAUGGGGGGAACCCUGAUGCAGCGACGCCGCGUGGGUGAAGGAGUGCUUCGGCAUGUAAAGCCCUAUCGGCAGGGAAGAAGCAAGACGGUACCUGACUAAGAAGCCCCGGCUAACUACGUGCCAGCAGCCGCGGUAAUACGGAGGGGGCGAGCGUUAUCCGGAUUCACUGGGUGUAAAGGGAGCGUAGACGGCCAUGCAAGCCAGGGGUGAAAGCCCGGGGCCCAACCCCGGGACUGCCCUUGGAACUGUGCGGCUAGAGUGCGGGAGGGGCAGGCGGAAUUCCGGGUGUAGCGGUGAAAUGCGUAGAUAUCAGGAGGAACACCGGCGGCGAAGGCGGCCUGCUGGACCGCGACUGACGUUGAGGCUCGAAAGCGUGGGGAGCGAACAGGAUUAGAUACCCUUGUAGUC